rnacentral:rRNA from 1 species
ACAGCAGCAGCCACGGGAAUACGUAGGUGGCAAGCGUUAUCCGGAAUUAUUGGGCGUAAAGCGCGCGUAGGCGGUUUUUUAAGUCUGAUGUGAAAGCCCACGGCUCAACCGUGGAGGGUCAUUGGAAACUGGAAAACUUGAGUGCAGAAGAGGAAAGUGGAAUUCCAUGUGUAGCGGUGAAAUGCGCAGAGAUAUGGAGGAACACCAGUGGCGAAGGCGACUUUCUGGUCUGUAACUGACGCUGAUGUGCGAAAGCGUGUGGAUCAAACAGGAUUAGAUACCCCCGUAGUCCCUGUCUCUUAUAC